UGAAUGAUGUUUUUACCUUGUUUAUUUUCAUAUAAAAAUAUGGCAUGCGGUUGCUUCAGAUAAUGGUAUAAACAUCACUCAAUGUAAACGGUGAUAAUCGUAAUUAAUAUCGCAAUUACAGUUUCAAGGGAAUAAUCGACAGUUU